UACGUAGGGUCCGAGCGUUGUCCGGAAUCAUUGGGCGUAAAGCGCGCGUAGGUGGCUUCGUAAGUCCGUUGUGAAAGUCAAAGGCUCAACCUUUGAAUGCCGAUGGAUACUGCGAAGCUAGAGUACGGAAGAGGCGAGUGGAAUUCCUGGUGUAGCGGUGGAAUGCGCAGAUAUCAGGAAGAACACCCGUGGCGAAGGCGGUUCUCUGGGACGGUACUGACGCUGAGACGCGAAAGCGUGGGGAGCGAACAGG
rnacentral:rRNA from 1 species